GAUGAACGCUGGCGGCGUGCCUAAUACAUGCAAGUCGAGCGAAUGAUGAGGAGCUUGCUCCUCUGAUUUAGCGGCGGACGGGUGAGUAACACGUGGGUAACCUGCCUGUAAGAUGGGGAUAACUCCGGGAAACCGGGGCUAAUACCGAAUAAUAAAAGAGGAAGCAUUUCUUCUUUUUGAAAGUUGGUUUCGGCUAACACUUACAGAUGGGCCCGCGGCGCAUUAGCUAGUUGGUGAGGUAACGGCUCACCAAGGCGACGAUGCGUAGCCGACCUGAGAGGGUGAUCGGCCACACUGGGACUGAGACACGGCCCAGCCUCCUACGGGAGGCAGCAGUAGGGAAUCUUCGGCAAUGGGCGAAAGCCUGACCGAGCAACGCCGCGUGAGCGAGGAAGGCCUUCGGGUCGUAAAGCUCUGUUGUCAGGGAAGAACAAGUACGAGAGUAACUGCUCGUACCUUGACGGUACCUGACCAGAAAGCCACGGCUAACUACGUGCCAGCAGCCGCCGUAA
rnacentral:rRNA from 1 species